rnacentral:ncRNA from 2 species
UAGUUAUUAAGAAAGGCUGAGGGAAUAGACCUGUUGAAGCCUUAGCAACCCUUUAAACUAAAGAAGGUGCUACGUUCUACCAUUAAAAUGGACAGAUAACAC